GAUCCUGGCUCAGGAUGAACGCUAGCGGCAGGCUUAACACAUGCAAGUCGAGGGGCAGCAUAAUGGUAGCAAUACUAUUGAUGGCGACCGGCGGACGGGUGCGUAACGCGUAUGCAACCUACCCUUUACAGGGGGAUAACACUGAGAAAUCGGUACUAAUACCCCAUAAUAUUCUGGGAGGCAUCUUUCGGGGUUGAAAGCUUUGGUGGUAAAGGAUGGGCAUGCGUUGGUAUUAGCUAGUUGGUAAGGUAACGG
rnacentral:rRNA from 1 species